AUCUUUUCAAGCUCCGGAGAGCGAAUCAGCCAAGGUAAUAAGCCUGCAAUCAAGAACGCAGGUUAGAAGAGAGACAAAGAAAUCAACCACUGCCAAAAUCCCGCUUCCGCGGAGCAGAGAUCGAAGGGAUCGAACCCGGAGAUUUAGAACUCAAGAAUCAAAGAAAAAGAUAGGGUAGGAACCCUAAAUUUACCGUUUCGGGAAGGAAAAUUCUCGAGCCCUAAUUACAACACGAGAAAGAGGCGAAGAAAAAUUACGCUCGCGAGGCCUAGAAGAAAGUAUUUAAACAGUAGAGCCUUCGAUUCUGAUUCCUUCCGGGAGCGAGGUUCAUUUACACUGGAAAUCGGGUGGUCGGUAACGGGUCAGUUGAGGUUCG
rnacentral:lncRNA from 1 species